rnacentral:rRNA from 1 species
GACGAACGCUGGCGGCGUGCUUAACACAUGCAAGUCGAGCGAGCGGCGAACGGGUGAGUAACGCGUGAGUAACCUGCCCCCCUCUCUGGGAUAACAGUUGGAAACGAUAGCUAAUACCGCAUACUGUGAGAUGGACCUGCGUUGUAUUAGCUAGUUGGUGAGGUAAAGGCUCACCAAGGCGACGAUACAUCGCCGACCUGGGAGGGUGAUCGGCCACACUGGGACUGAGACACGGCCCAGACUCCUACGGGAGGCAGCAGUGGGGGAUAUUGCACAAUGGGCGAAAGCCUGAUGCAGCGACGCCGCGUGGGGGAUGAAGGCUUCGGGUGGUAAACCUCCUUCGCUAUCGAACGGGUAGGUGGAGAAGAAGCGCCGGCUAACUACGUGCCAGCAGCCGCGGUAAUAC